ACCAGACUCCUACGGGAGGCAGCAGUGGGGGAUAUUGCACAAUGGGGGGAACCCUGAUGCAGCGACGCCGCGUGGGUGAAGGAGUGCUUCGGCAUGUAAAGCCCUAUCGGCAGGGAAGAAGCAAGACGGUACCUGACUAAGAAGCCCCGGCUAACUACGUGCCAGCAGCCGCGGUAAUACGUAGGGGGCGAGCGUUAUCCGGAUUUACUGGGUGUAAAGGGGGCGCAGACGGCGAUGCAAGCCAGGAGUGAAAGCCCGGGGCCCAACCCCGGGACUGCUCUUGGAACUGCGUGGCUGAAGUGCAGGAGGGGCAGGCGGAAUUCCUGGUGUAGCGGUGAAAUGCGUAGAUAUCAGGAGGAACACCGGUGGCGAAGGCGGCUUACUGGACAGUGACUGACGUUGAGGCUCGAAAGCGUGGGGAGCGAACAGGAUUAGAUACCCUAGUAAC
rnacentral:rRNA from 1 species